CUCUGUAGGGUGGGAAGGGUAGGAUGUAUGCAAAGUCCAUCUGAGGUGUCUCCGUCACAGAGGUUUUAGUCUCAGUUUUAGUGUGGGAGGCAAAGGACAGAAGACAUAGCCAGAAAUAUGUCUGGGAUCUAUAGAAAUGACCCUCAGACUUACAGCUCCUUUCCUUCUCCCAUGAAUGGCCUCCAGAGGAAGAAAUACGGGCACGUUCACACUAAAAAGGCAUGCAUGGAUGUUCAUAGAAAUCUGAUCUGAAAUAGCCUCAAAUUGGAAAUAAUCUCGAAUGUCCCUAAACAGUGAAAUGGAUGGACUGUGGAAUUGUCUUACAAUGGAGUACUAUAUAGCAGUGAAAAUCUGCCAUUUCCCACAUUAUUCCACAGGUUACUCUCCCAGAGUCUGGUGCUGGAGCAGAAAGAAAAUGACAUGGGGAACCUGGGUGGCUCAGUGGGUUUAAAGCCUCUGCCUUCAGCUCAGGUUAUGGUCCCAGGGUC